AGUGAACGCUGGCGGUAGGCCUAGCACAUGCAAGUCGAACGGCAGCACAGUAAGAGCUUGCUCUUACGGGUGGCGAGUGGCGGACGGGUGAGGAAUACAUCGGAAUCUACUUUUUCGUGGGGGAUAACGUAGGGAAACUUACGCUAAUACCGCAUACGACCUACGGGUGAAAGCAGGGGAUCUUCGGACCUUGCGCGAUUGAAUGAGCCGAUGUCGGAGUAGCUAGUUGGCGGGGUAAAUGCCCACCAAGGCGACGAUCCGUAGCUGGUCUGAGAGGAUGAUCAGCCACACUGGAACUGAGACACGGUCCAGACUCCUACGGGAGGCAGCAGUGGGGAAUAUUGGACAAUGGGCGCAAGCCUGAUCCAGCCAUACCGCGUGGGUGAAGAAGGCCUUCGGGUUGUAAAGCCCUUUUGUUGGGAAAGAAAAGCAGCAGGUUAAUACCCCGCUGUUCUGACGGUACCCAAAGAAUAAGCACCGGCUAACUUCGUG
rnacentral:rRNA from 1 species